rnacentral:rRNA from 1 species
ACGAACGCUGGCGGCGUGCUUCACACAUGCAAGUCGAACGGUGAUGCUCCAGCUUGCUGGCGUGGAUCAGUGGCGAACGGGUGAGUAACACGUGAGCAACCUGCCCCAGACUCUGGAAUAAGCGCUGGAAACGGCGUCUAAUACUGGAUACGAAACUGGCCCGCAUGGGCAUGGUUUGGAAAGUUUUUCGGUUUGGGAUGGGCUCGCGGCCUAUCAGCUUGUUGGUGAGGUAAUGGCUCACCAAGGCGACGACGGGUAGCCGGCCUGAGAGGGCGACCGGCCACACUGGGACUGAGACACGGCCCAGACUCCUACGGGAGGCAGCAGUGGGGAAUAUUGCACAAUGGGCGAAAGCCUGAUGCAGCGACGCCGCGUGAGGGAUGACGGCCUUCGGGUUGUAAACCUCUUUCAGCAGGGAAGAAGCGAAAGUGACGGUACCUGCAGAAGAAGCACCGGCUAACUACGUG